GACGAACGCUGGCGGCGUGCUUAACACAUGCAAGUCGAACGGAAAGGCCCUGCUUUUGUGGGGUGCUCGAGUGGCGAACGGGUGAGUAACACGUGAGUAACCUGCCCUUGACUUUGGGAUAACUUCAGGAAACUGGGGCUAAUACCGGAUAUGAGCUCCUGCUGCAUGGUGGGGGUUGGAAAGUUUCGGCGGUUGGGGAUGGACUCGCGGCUUAUCAGCUUGUUGGUGGGGUAGUGGCUUACCAAGGCUUUGACGGGUAGCCGGCCUGCGAGGGUGACCGGCCACAUUGGGACUGAGAUACGGCCCAGACUGCUACGGGAGGCAGCAGUGGGGAAUAGUGCACAAUGGGCGGAAGCCUGAUGCAGCAACGCCGCGUGCGGGAUGACGGCCUUCGGGUUGUAAACCGCUUUCGCCUGUGACGAAGCGUGAGUGACGGUAAUGGGUAAAGAAGCACCGGCUAACUACGUG
rnacentral:rRNA from 1 species